ensembl:lncRNA
AUUGGCUUCUAAAAAUUCUGAUAAGUUGAAGAUCUCAGACAUUAAAAAAAACAAUUACAGAUGAAAGUCAAUGCCAUAGCUUUUUACAUUAAUCUGAAUAUUGCUAUCUUGUAGAACCACAGCAAAGCCUGCAGUCAGCCUAAGAACGUAACUUUGUUGCAAUCAACCCAUCAUAAUCAAAACAAUAGCACCAACUCAACUCAAACUCCUUUACAGAAACACCACCUAAAUCACAACUGAAAGUGACACACAUUGGAGAAUAAAAUGAUAAAAUGUAAAAUAUAUAUACAUAUAUCUGUAAACUCCGGCUUCCGUGUACAUUAUGCGGCUCCCCAGGAGAGAACAGUGUUAAACACCCAUCUCAACACUUCACCACCAUGUCCCCUCUUUAUGAUAAUAAAAUAAUUGAAAAGAAAAAUACGAGAGUGAUUUUGUUUAAAGAUAAAAUAUAUAGAUAUGGAACAUUGAUCAGAAAUGUCCCCUUACCUGCACCCUUUGAAUUAUUACGUAUUUUAAAGUGUGGAUGGAUAAGAUAGCUUUAGGCCUGGCGCCAUACCUAACGGCCACAUCAUGUCUAGCCUAUCCUUGGUGUCAGUGAAAUGUCUAAAGCCUAGUCUAACACACUCAAUGCUGGAUUUUGCAUAGCAGUUGAGCAGGUUCCUAAUCAAUAAACAGAAUACAAUGCAUACAGAAGCUUGUUGGUGAUCAUAAUGCAAUUAAUACAAAAAUCACAAUUAAGAUAAUCCAAGUAAUUCCUGGGUACUGUACCUAUUUUCCUACAUAAAAAAUCUGUCCCCAACAAAAGCAGUAAGGCUUCAGAGGGUGUGGUAUAUGGCCAAUAUACCACAGCCAAGACAUUCCUUGACACAGCGCUUAGCCAUGUUAUAUCAGCAAUGUAUCACACACUCCUGUCUUAUUGCUCUUAUAAACCGGUUACCAACAUAAUUACAUCUGUAAAAAUGUAUGUGAGGUCAUACCUGUGGUAUACGGUCAGUCAGAGAGCAUUCAGGGUUAAAACCACCCGGUUUAUAAGGAUAUAUAACAAACAAUUAUUAGUCAUCAGAACAAAUAACUGUGUACACAGAAAUACAUUUUCCUAUGAGUCUGUAUGUUUUUGUAAAACAUCUCAGAGGAUGUCCAUUCAUCAAAUCUAUGAGACAAGUAUUUGAUACACUGCCGAUUUUGCAGGUUUUCCCACUUACAAAGCAUGUAGAAGUCUGUAA